UCCUGUUGAAAAAUAACAGGUAAUUCCUGCUCAAUGAAAUAAUUUAAAUAGCUGCGAGUAGUCGUACAAAGGUAGCAUAAUAAUUUGUUUUUUAAUUGAAAACUAGAAUGAAAGGUAAAACGAGAAAUAAACUGUUUCAAAUUUAAAAAUUAAAAUUUAUAUUUAAGUCAAAAAGCUUAAAUUCUUUUGAAGGACGAGAAGACCCUAUAGAACUUAAAGAAUAAUAAGAAAAUAAAAAUUUUUAAACACUAACAAUUUUUCUAUUAAGCUUUUUGCUGGGGUAGCAAGAAAACAAAAUGAAUUUUUCUUUAUAAAAACAUUUAUAAAUGAAAUUUAGGAUCCAUUUUUUGAAAAAAGAAAAAGUUACCUUAGGGAUAACAGCGUUAUGCUUUUUGAGAGUUCAAAUCGACAAAAGAUAUUACGACCUCGAUGUUGGAUUAAGAUAAAUAAAAGGAGCAGAACCUUUAAAAAUUUGGUCUGUUCGACCAUUAAAAUCU
rnacentral:rRNA from 1 species